rnacentral:rRNA from 1 species
CUUAAAUGAAUUGACGGGGGCCCGCACAAGCGGUGGAGCAUGUGGUUUAAUUCGAUGCAACGCGAAGAACCUUACCUACUCUUGACAUCCAGAGAACUUAGCAGAGAUGCUUUGGUGCCUUCGGGAACUCUGAGACAGGUGCUGCAUGGCUGUCGUCAGCUCGUGUUGUGAAAUGUUGGGUUAAGUCCCGCAACGAGCGCAACCCUUAUCCUUUGUUGCCAGCGAUUCGGUCGGGAACUCAAAGGAGACUGCCAGUGAUAAACUGGAGGAAGGUGGGGAUGACGUCAAGUCAUCAUGGCCCUUACGAGUAGGGCUACACACGUGCUACAAUGGCAUAUACAAAGAGAAGCGACCUCGCGAGGGCAAGCGGACCUCAUAAAGUAUGUCGUAGUCCGGAUUGGAGUCUGCAACUCGACUCCAUGAAGUCGGAAUCGCUAGUAAUCGUAGAUCAGAAUGCUACGGUGAAUACGUUCCCGGGCCUUGUACACACCGCCCGUCACACCAUGGGAGUGGGUUGCAAAAGAAGUAGGUAGCUUAACCUUCGGGAGGGCGCUUACCACUUUGUGAUUCAUGACUGGGGUGAAGUCGUAACAAGGUAAC